rnacentral:rRNA from 1 species
AACCAAGAGGGCUGAGUUAUAUAUCAACGGUAAAAAGACGGUUAAAUAAUCAUAAAAGUUUAUUUAAUAUUUAUUAAAAGGUAGAAUUUGAAUAUAAAUAUAUAAUUUAUUUAUUACUUAAGUAUUGAGGCCGUGAUAGUCUUGAGGGAAACUGGGAUUAGAUACCCCAUUAUUCUUGAUUGUAAAUAAAUAAAGAUUUACCAGAGUACUACGAACUAUAAAAAUUUAAAACUCAAAGAGCUUGGCGGUGUUUUAGACCUUUCAGGGGAACCUGUCUCAUAAUCGACAGUCCACGCUAUACCUAACCUUCUUUUGCCAUCAGUUUGUAUACCGUCGUCGUCAGGUAACUUUUUAAAAUUUAGAAGUUAGCAAAUGAACUACGUAAGUUUAAACGUCAGAUCAAGGUGCAACUCAUAUGAAGGUGAGGAUGGGUUACAAUUAUUCAAUCAUAACUACGAAAUAAUUAUUUGAAUAAAUAAUCAUUGAAGGAGGACUUGAAAGUAAAAUAGAUUAUAUAAAUAUCUUGAAUAGGGCUCUGAAACGUGC